rnacentral:rRNA from 1 species
CCUACGGGAGGCAGCAGUGGGGAAUUUUGGACAAUGGGCGCAAGCCUGAUCCAGCCAUGCCGCGUGCGGGAAGAAGGCCUUCGGGUUGUAAACCGCUUUUGUCAGGGAAGAAAUCCUUUGGGCUAAUACCUCGGAGGGAUGACGGUACCUGAAGAAUAAGCACCGGCUAACUACGUGCCAGCAGCCGCGGUAAUACGUAGGGUGCGAGCGUUAAUCGGAAUUACUGGGCGUAAAGCGUGCGCAGGCGGUUAUGCAAGACAGAUGUGAAAUCCCCGGGCUUAACCUGGGAACUGCAUUUGUGACUGCAUAGCUCGAGUACGGCAGAGGGGGAUGGAAUUCCGCGUGUAGCAGUGAAAUGCGUAGAUAUGCGGAGGAACACCGAUGGCGAAGGCAAUCCCCUGGGCCUGUACUGACGCUCAUGCACGAAAGCGUGGGGAGCAAACAGGAUUAGAUACCCUGGUAGUCCACGCCCUAAACGAUGUCAACUGGUUGUUGGACGGCUUGCUGUUCAGUACGAAGCUAACGCGUGAAGUUGACCGCCUGGGGAAGUACGGCCGCAAGGUUGAAACUUCAAAUUGAAUUGACGG